AAAGAUUUGAGGACUGGAUCAGGGUGACUUUAGCCUCUUUUUUAUAGCCUUAUAAACUCCUAGGCUAUUUCACAAUGAGAACAUAUUACUUUUUUAGCUUGAAAAAGACACUAAAGAAAAUAAAAGAUGUAAAUGAAUAACAAUGACAGAGAAAAACACUAUCAGAUCUUUAGGCUGGAUGAGGGAGAUGAAGCUGUUGUCAGGGAGAACAGUCCGGAAAUUACUGAGAAUAUUCAGAAAAGAGAUGCAAAGGUGUGAGCUCAGCAGUGUCCGGGAAAGGGAGAUGAGCAGAUCGGAGGGAUCCUUAGCGGGUGAAUUCAGCGGGAUUUGGAGCCAGAGGAGUCUAGUGGUGAGGAACAAGCUUGGCUUUUCUCCUGUGUCUAGCCUGAGCUGCUGCAUGGAUGAUUGUCACCAACUACCUGUGUAGAAAAUAUAAACAAAAGAGUCAGUUUUGGAAAUGGGAAAGAUGAUAAAUUCAACUUGGGGCAUAUUAAGUUUGAGGUGCCUAUAGGCCAUCAAAAACAGGGAUGUCUAAAAGGCCAUGUAGGUUUAAGACUCCAAGAAUGUAUGGCAUUAACAUAUAUAAAUGGCCCUUUAAGCCACAGGCAUGGAUAACAUUGUUUAGAAAGAGACGUACAGGCAGUGGCAAGGUAAGGGUGGAGGGUGAAUCCACAUUUAUCAAAGAGAAAGAGGAAAAGAAACUUCUUAGGAGACCUAGGAGCAGCCGGAGGGAAAGAGGAACCCCACUGAGCAGAGCGUCACAGAACAGAGGCAGAAGGAGGAACAGCUUCCUAGAAAGGAUACCACGUUAGAUAAGAAGUGAAAUAUGACCAUAGCCUGUUGGGUCACUGAGGCCUGGUCUGGAACAGUUUCAGAAGAGGGGUGAGGACCCAAGUCAGGUUGCAGAAGGGUGAGGAGUGAGUGGGAUUAGAGUAGGGUGAGAAAGACUUAACCGUGAAAGGAAAGAGAAAAGAGGAUUCUAGAUAAGGAGAAUAUCGGAUCCUGUCACCUAAGAUUUAUUUAUUUAUUUGGUAGUCGUUACAAGAGAUAUGAUCAUGUGGAUGUGCUGAGGGAAGAAAGCCAGGAAAAGAUAAGUUGACGACCUAGAGGAGAGAGUAAAUAAUUAAUGAAACAGGGCUUGGGGGUGGGGCUGAAGUCCAGAGUUCAGGCUGAGGGGUUCUCUGGGACAGGACAGGGGAGAGCUAUUUUUUCCCCUUUGAGAAUAAAAAGAAGAGAAAGGGCUAUUGCAUGAAUUAGAGGGCUAAGAGAUGGGGAGGCAAGGCUUGAGGGUGUCUUGUUGGGGUUAAAAAGCAGGUAGAUGAGAGUAAGGGGAUAUAGAAAGGUAAGGUAGAUAUUAUGAGCAGAACAUCAAAUAUUCUUAAGUCUUCGGGCUUAAGGUCUCUGAAGUGGAAUAGUUUGGAGAUGAUGACAAGGUUCGGAGUGUGACCACGUGGAUGAAGCAUCGGCGAAGUGAGAAGCAUUGGAGUCCAAGCUUCUACUGUGAAUGUAGAGUGACUUCUUGACUCAGGAAGGUGACCUGCCCAUUGUCAAUCAUCCAGGACAACCUUAUUAUGGUGCAUCUCACCUUGGGUCCCACUUGUCUUGGUAGCAUCUCCCCUGAGGUACUGGCUGAGAUUCCAGAGGGUAAGGAUCCCUCUUAGUCAUCAUUUUGUCCCUGAUGGCAUGCAGUUGCAAGUAGUGGGUGCUGCAAGUGUUAACUGAAUUUCAUCAUCUCGCAACAUCCAAUGUUCUAAAUUUUGAACCAAUAUGAGACAUAUAGAAACAUAUGAGACAAUAUGAGAUAUAAUGGAACAAGAGACAGAGGGCUAUGGAUUUAAAGCAAGAGGCUUAAUUUCACAUACAGCAUCUUCUAAGAUAGGGUAUGGCCUGUAGGUCCUCCUGUAUUUAACAAAUGCACAUCUUCCUUCAUUGCAUAUGAAGGCUGUAUAAUUCCACAGAUCUUCAUUUUUGCAUGCAGCUAAGGGACACAGAGUAAUCUCCUAAAUGCAUUGUUAAAAUUUAAUAUUUAUAAGCUGAAUUGGCGCACACCUAAAGAGUGCUAAGGGUUUUAAUUCCGCACUCUGCUAAAAGUCUGGCAGACACAAAAACGCUCUGCAAGUGCGCAUGUGCAGGUGAUUGGCUUUCUCCCACGUUUCAAAAGGCCAAUUUCUUAUCAUGUAUCAUCACUAUUAUAAUGAGGCAUCGGAGGUUCCGAUUACUAUUCUUUUUACUUAUUAAUUGUGUCUUAGUUUUUAUCAUUAUCGGUUUGUUCUGGGUUCGUUAAUUUGUUGGUGUCUUAGCAAGGAUGUUUUAGACUUGGGCUCUGGAGACCUAGCAUCGUCUGUGUUAAAUCAGUAUGAACUUGAGUAAGGUAUUUAAUUAUUCUGAGCCUGAGUUUUUCCAUCUCGAAAUGGGAGUGGGUGGUACAGGUGCUUCUCUCAUUUGGUUUGAUGUGGGCAACCAUUGAGGUAAUGCAUGCUGAGUGUUUUCAUUGAUGGUACAUAGACAAGGUGCCAGCACAUAGGACAAGGUUAGAUGAGGAUUUGGUUCAGCUAAGCAUGACAGAAAACCAAACUAGCAGUCUUAUUAAGACAGAAGUUUAUUUCUUCCCACAAAUCCAUGGGCAGCCCAGAGUUGGUAUGACAGUCUGCAGCCAUCACAUUCCUUCCAUCCUGUCGUUCGAUGCUUUCUCAGAGUGGGACUGCUGUUGGUGGGCCGGAUGGCUGUUCCAAUCCCAGCCGUCAACAUCAGCCCCCAGCUAGCAGGAAGGAAGAAUGGCAAAGAGAAGGGCACACACCCUUUCUAAGGAUUCUCCUAGGAAUUAUAUAUGCCACUUCUGCUUUCAUGCGAUUGACCAGAACUUGAUCGCAUGCCACAUCUAGCUGUAAGGACAGGCUGGGUAUAAAAUCUUUACUUUGAAUAGGUAUGAAUCCAGCUAAAGGGGACGUUCAUUAUUACAGAACUGGGCUAAUCAGCUGGAAUGGUACUGACCUUUGGGGAAGGACACAUCUUCAUUGGAUGAGACUGUCUACACAUUUCAGGACACUUAUACCUCCAGGCCCCAGACACUCCCUAAAUGCCAGGAGGACCCAACCGUAUCAACCCAAUGCUCCCACACAUUUACAGUUACGCCGAGGAGGUAGCAUGUCCUUAAAGCCGAGGUUGCUGUGGCAGGCAUUUCCUCUGCCCAGUGCAGCAGCACAUGCCCUUCCAGGGAAACCCUGCUUCCCACAGCCAGAGGUGAGACAGCCAUCUGCUCGAGGGGAGACAGGCCAGCCUCUGACUCAGGCCAGACCACAUGAACUCUUUUCCCAGGCUUUAAACAAUUGGAACUAGGGGGAAAAUUUUAAUUUCCUCAUGGGAGAGACAUAAGAUCUAGUGCUGUUCAUCUACUAUUGAUGAGAAUGCAAAUGGUGCUGCUGCUUUGAAAAACAGUCUGGCAACUCUGCAAAAGGCUAAAUAUAGAGAUACCAUAUGGCAAAGCAACUCCGCUCCUACUCAUACAUCCAAGAGAAAUAAAAAAAAAACACAUGUUCACAUAAAAAGUUGUUCAUGAGUAAUUAUAGCAGCAUUAUUCAUAACAGCCAAAAAGUGGAAACAGUCCAAGUGUCCACCGACUGAUAAAUAGAUGAACACAAUGUGCUAUAUCUGUAAUGGAAUAUUAUUUGGCAAUAAACAGGAACAGAGAACCAGUGAACACUACAACAUAGAUGGACCUUGAAAAUAUGCUAGGUGAAAGAAGCCAAUCUCAAAUGGCCAUAUAUUACAUGAUUCCAUUUAUCAACAUAGGAAAUGUGCAGAAUAAGCAAAUCCAUAGAGGCAGGAAGUAGAUUACUGUUGGCUGGGGAGAGAGGCGGAUAGGGAGAGACUGCUAAUGAUAUGGGAAGACUGAGUUAAAUUACAUGGCCAGUGAUGUAAUCAGUCAUACCUCUGUAAUAAAACCUUGAUUAAAACUCUAUAAGGAGGCUCAGAGAGCUUCCUGGUUGGUGAGCACGUAGGUGUACUGAGAGGGUGGCACACACUCCCAGGCCUUCUGCAUUCUGGGCCUCACCUUACGUGUCUCCCCCAUUUGGCUGUUCCUGACUUGUACCUUUUAUAAUAAAAUAGGAAUUAAAAGUAUAGUGUUGUCUGAGUUCUAUGAGUCACCUAUUUGGUGUUGGAGAAUUGUUAGAGUGCCCUGGGGAAGGUAGCAUUUGCUAAGUGGGCCAUUAUCUAAAAAGUUUGAGAACACUACUGUGCAGGAAAGUACUUAGGACAAAAGUAUCCAAUCUUAAAUACAGAUAAAAGGUAGCAAGCAACAGUGCUACUCUGAAACACUUCUUAAAGUGAGAGAUAACAUACUGACAUUUGUAGAGUUGAAUUGUACUUUAUAAUAUGAAUGUUUACUAAGUGUAAUUUUCAAAAGAUACUUUCUCUUAUUGACCUUUUCAAAGACAAUGAGGCUCUUUAACCCAAAAUUAUUGCAGGGUAGAUUUGCCUGUUGGUGAAAGGAUGAAGUAAGAAGCUCUCUUUUAGUCAUAGGAUUAUGUAUGUUUCCAUUAGAAGAAUAUCUCCCUGGAUUUUGAAACAAAACAGCUGCUGCUAUCCAAAUAUGUAUAAAUGGUGGCAUAAAUGUAACACAUUAUAUUUCUUUCAACAUCUAUUUUUAUUACAUUGAU